GUGUCAGCCGCCGCGGUAAUACGAACCGUCCAAACGUUAUUCGGAAUCAUUGGGCUUAAAGGGUACGUAGGCGGCGCUGUCAGUCGGGUGUGAAAGCCCUCGGCUCAACCGAGGAAUUGCGCCCGAUACUGCAGUGCUUGAGGGAGACAGAGGUAAGCGGAACUGAUGGUGGAGCGGUGAAAUGCGUUGAUAUCAUCAGGAACACCAGUGGCGAAAGCGGCUUACUGGGUCUCUUCUGACGCUGAGGUACGAAAGCUAGGGGAGCGAACGGGAUUAGAUACCCCGGUAGUCCUAGCUGUAAACGCUGAGCACUUGAUCGAGGAUCCCCCCAUAGGUUCUCGGUCGUAGCGAAAGUGGUAAGUGCUCCGCCUGGGGAGUAUGGUCGCAAGGCUGAAACUCAAAUGAAUUGGCGGGG
rnacentral:rRNA from 1 species